rnacentral:miRNA from 2 species
UUCCCUUUGUUAUCCUAUGCCU